UACGUAGGGUGCAAGCGUUAUCCGGAAUUAUUGGGCGUAAAGAGCUCGUAGGCGGUUUGUCGCGUCUGCUGUGAAAACUGGGGGCUCAACCCCCAGCCUGCAGUGGGUACGGGCAGACUAGAGUGCAGUAGGGGAGACUGGAAUUCCUGGUGUAGCGGUGAAAUGCGCAGAUAUCAGGAGGAACACCGAUGGCGAAGGCAGGUCUCUGGGCUGUAACUGACGCUGAGGAGCGAAAGCGUGGGGAGCAAACAGG
rnacentral:rRNA from 1 species